CCAUUUGGGAUAAGGGUUCGCCAAUGUUUUCCUCAUAUGCCAGAUUCACUGAGGAACUUUGCGAAGUGUUUGAUUAUCCUGUCGAGGGUCCCAAAUGUACAAAACAGUUGUUUUCCCUCACCCAGGGCUCUCCGUCUGUGGCAGAAUUUUCUAUUGAGUUCCGCACAGUGGCGGCCGAGAGUGGGUGGGGGAAACUAGAAUUAAAGGGUAUAUUCUCUUGUGGUCUGUCGGGACAGCUUAUAGAUGAGCUAGCAGAUCCUGAUGAACCCUCCUCACUUGAGGAGCUAAUCGCGUUAGCCAUUAGGUUAGACAAUCGCCUCAGGGAGAGACGGAGGGAAAAGAAAGUAAAUUCCCCUACCCAUGGCAUAGACUCCCCAUUCUCUGUCACGGUCAGCGUGUCUCCUCUGCAGCCCUCAGUUUUUCUGGAUCUGGCGCCCUCUGCCGGGGAACGCAUGCAAAUCGGCCGCACCAAACUACAUCCCAGUGAACGGAAACGACAGAUGGAGCAGAAGCUCUGUGUUUAUUGUGGCCAGGCUGGCCACUUUCUGCCCAACUGUCCAAACAAGUUAAACGACCAGGCUCAUCAGUGACAGAGAGCACCCUGAUGAGCCACACCUCCUCUGUCCCCAGCUCUCCCAGACAUAUCUCUGUACCUGCUUGCCUUCUGUGGGGAAAAGAAUCUACGUCUCUCCAAACCCUAAUUGACUCUGGGGUGGACAACAACUUCAUUCACGCCAGACUGGCAGCGCAGCUUAAGCUCCCCCUGGACGUACUCCCGGUUCCCCGUAAGGUCACCACUCUCAAUGGCAGGGUUAUAGCCACCAUAACCCACUGCACUACUCCUCUUACCCUCAUCCUCUCUGGAAACCAUCGUGAGGACAUCCGGUUGUUCUUGCUUCCCUCUCCGCACUCACCCCUUGUGCUUGGACUCCCGUAGCUGCAGAUCUACAACCCCCAAAUCAACUGGUCCACAGCUUCAAUCUCCGCCUGGAGUCCUCACUGCCACUCUCAUUGCCUCCGCUCCGCCAAUCCCUACAUCCACCGACAGAAGUCAGCAUGACCACCACCAUCUCUCGCCUCUGUUCCCCCCGUUUCCUAUGAUCUGGCCAUGGUUUUCAGUAAGGAGCAGUCUCUCGUCCCUCCUCCUCAUUGCCCAUAUGACUGCGCCAUAGAUUUGCUCCCUGGCGCCCCUCUCCCCAGCAGCAGACUGUACAAUCUCUCUCGGCCUGAACGAGAGGCCAUGGAGGAAUACAUCCAGGACUCCUUGACAUCUGGACUCAUCCGACCCUCAUCCUCUCCCCUUGCUGCUGGAUUUUUCUUUGUGAAGAAAAAAGAUUCCUCUCUCUGUCCCUGCAUCGACUUCCGCUGAAGCAAUGAGUUCACCAUUAAAAACAAAUAUCCCCUGCCACUCAUCGAUCCCUCCUUCGAACCUCUCUGCAAGGCCACCAUCUUCUCCAAACUGGACCUCCGGAAUGCCUAUCACCUGGUUCGCAUCAGGGAGGGUGACGAGUGGAAAAUGCCUUCAAUAUACCCAUAGGCCACUUCGAGUACCUCGUCAUGCCCCUUGGCCUCACCAAUGCCCCUGCUGUGUUCCAGGCUCUCAUUAAAGACGUCCUCUAGGACAUGAUCAACCAAUUCGCCUUCGUCUAUCUGGACGAUAUCCUGAUCUUCUCCCACAACCUGGAGAAACAUCAACAGAAUGUUCGACUGGUCCUCCAGUGACGAAGAGAACCACCUCUUCGUCGAACUCAAGAAGUGCGAGUUCCAUGCCUCCUCCAUUAGCUUCUUUGGAUACAUCAUCGCCCAGGGGGAGCUACGCCCAGACCCGGAGAAAGUCCACGCUGUCUGUGACUGGCCCACUCCCUCCUCCCGCAAAGACCUCCAGCGAUUCCUCGGCUUCGCAAACUUUUACCGGAGAUUCAUCAGGAACUGCAGCAAGGUGGCUAUGCCUCUUACCCCUCUCACAUCUCUCAAACUCCCGUUCUCCUGGACUACUGAAGCAGACGCCACCUUCUGUCGACUCAAGUCCCUCUUCAUCUCCACCCCAGUGCUCAAACACCCGGAUCCCUCCCUCCAAUUCAUAGUGGAGGUCGAUGCUUCAAACUCUGGAGUGGGGACCGUCUUCUCACAGAGGGAUUCCGAGACCCAGAAGCUCCAUCCUUGCGUCUACUUCUCCCAGAAACUCUCACCCACCGAGCGUAACUAUGAUGUGGGAAACUGUGAGUUGCUGGCUGUUGUGCGAGCACUCCAAGAAUGGAGACAUUGGCUGGAAGGAGCACAAAAACCCUUCCUCAUCUGGACCACAAGAACCUGCAAUAUCUCUGUUCUGCUCGACGCCUCAACUCCAGGCAAGCCCACUGGUCCCUCUUCCUCAGCAGAUUCUGCUUCACCCUCUCCUAUCGUCCCGGCUCCCGCAACGUCAAACCUGACUCCCUAUCUUGGAUCCACUCCUCAGCUACCUCUGACCCCAGAGAACUGGACACCAUCCUUCCCGCCUCCUGUGUCAUUUGCUCCGCCUCUUGGGUAAUCAACCCAGACCCUGGAACCAGUCCUCCUAAAAGAAAAUUCGUCCCUGAGGUUGCACGUUCCCAGGUCCUACAGUGGGGGCACUCCUCCAAACUCACCUGUCACCCCGGAUUUCAACGCACCCU
rnacentral:lncRNA from 1 species